GUGAAGCGCCCUCAGUGGGGAGGACUUCCAGAGUCCUGGGGACACAAAGGCUGGCAUCCUGGGGACAGGAGAGGUAGGCAGCACGGCCCAUAGGGCCUUGUAGACCCCAGGUUAGGAGCGGGGUUUUAUUCUGGUGUUCUGGGACCUCGUGGGAAGGUUUCUAAGCCGUGCAGGGCCCCAGCCUGGCCUGCUGGGGCUGCAUCCUGUGUCUACUGCUGGUCAGAGAACUGACUGGGGUUGGGGGAAGGGAAGCCCUGCUUUUAGCCAGGUGGCAGCUGGUGGAGGCCUGCCCUGAGGGUGGGUAGCCCUGGGAAGUUGUGUGUAGGGAGGGACCAGGUCAAGGACGGCCCUGUUCUUUCACGCUGAGCUCCUGGCUGGCCCUGGGAGUGGCUGUUGCCUGUGAAGGUAGAGUGCUGGGUUGGAUCUCUCCGUGCCUUCAAGGAGCUCCCGGCUCUGGGAUCAAUGCAGAGGAGAGUGGUACAGGCGAUGCACAGGAGAGAAGCUGGGUGGUCCCUGGGCCUGGCCUGGGCCUGCAGGGGGCUUUGCACCCCCGACCACGGCCUCUUCCCUCAGUCUGUGGCCUCCUCCCUCUUCCCAGUGCUGCUGAGUGAGUGGUGGUCAUUAUUCCCACCAAGUCCAGGGCUUUCCUCCUCUACAGACAGGGAGUAUCAGUUACUUCUAAGGAUUAAACUGGAAAAGGAUUCAAGCCAGCACUGCCAGGAAGGGCUUUUGACAUGCCUGCAUUAAGGGAAGAUAUAUCAUUCCAGUGAGCAUUUAAAUACUGAUUACAUCUUUUGCUUUGUAAAUAACUCAAUGGUAAAUUUUUACAAUAUUGUUUUUACAGAGACUGUAAUGAGGAGGCAAUUUUUCUCCCCCAUCACUUGGAUAUUAAGCUUUUUAAUGAGAGUACACAAAUGACUAUAUAAAACUUGGGAUGGUGAGAGCUGAGUUGGGACUUAAUGCGAAAUUAAAGUUGUGCAGGCUCCA
rnacentral:lncRNA from 1 species